rnacentral:rRNA from 1 species
AGAGUUUGAUCCUGGCUCAGGAUGAACGCUAGCGACAGGCCUAACACAUGCAAGUCGAGGGGCAGCAUUUCUAGCUUGCUAGAAGAUGGCGACCGGCGCACGGGUGAGUAACGCGUAUGCAACCUACCUUAUACUGGGGGAUAGCCCAAAGAAAUUUGGAUUAAUACCGCAUAACAUAUUUGAAUCGCAUGGUUUAGAUAUUAAAACUCCGGUGGUAUAAGAUGGGCAUGCGUAGCAUUAGUUAGUUGGUGAGGUAACGGCUCACCAAGACUAUGAUGCUUAGGGGGUCUGAGAGGAUAGUCCCCCACACUGGUACUGAGACACGGACCAGACUCCUACGGGAGGCAGCAGUGAGGAAUAUUGGUCAAUGGACGAAAGUCUGAACCAGCCAUGUCGCGUGCAGGAUGACGGCCCUAUGGGUUGUAAACUGCUUUUUUUACAGGAAUAAUUGUCGAUACGUGUAUCGAUUUGAAUGUACUGUAUGAAUAAGGAUCGGCUAACUCCGUGCCAGCAGCCGCGGUAAUACGGAGGAUUCGAGCGUUAUCCGGAUUUAUUGGGUUUAAAGGGUCCGUAGGCGGUUCUUUAAGUCAGUGGUGAAAUCCCAGAGCUCAACUCUGGAACUGCCAUUGAAACUGAAGAACUUGAAUAUGGUUGAGGUAGGCGGAAUACGUUAUGUAGCGGUGAAAUGCAUAGAUAUAACGUAGAACACCAAUUGCGAAGGCAGCUUACUAAACCAUUAUUGACGCUGAUGGACGAAAAGCGUGGGAAGCGAACAGGAUUAGAUACCCUGGUAGUCCACGCCGUAAACGAUGAUUACUCGUUGUGCACAAUACAUCGUGCGUGACUGAGCGAAAGCAUUAAGUAAUCCACCUGGGGAGUACGUUCGCAGGAAUGAAACUCAAAGGAAUUGACGGGGGCCCGCACAAGCGGAGGAACAUGUGGUUUAAUUCGAUGAUACGCGAGGAACCUUACCUGGACUUAAAUGUAGAUUGACCGGUUUAGAAAUAGAUCUUUCCUUCGGGACAAUUUACAAGGUGCUGCAUGGUUGUCGUCAGCUCGUGCCGUGAGGUGUCGGGUUAAGUCCCAUAACGAGCGCAACCCCUAUCGUUAGUUGCUAGCAGGUAAUGCUGAGGACUCUAGCGAGACUGCCACCGUAAGGUGAGAGGAAGGUGGGGAUGACGUCAGAUCAGCACGGCCCUUACGUCCAGGGCUACACACGUGUUACAAUGGCCAGUACAAAGGGCAGCUACCUGGUGACAGGAUGCUAAUCUCAAAAGCUGGUCUCAGUUCGGAUCGGAGUCUGCAGCUCGACUCCGUGAAGUUGGAUUCGCUAGUAAUCGUAUAUCAGCAAUGAUACGGUGAAUACGUUCCCGGGCCUUGUACAC